CCACUGGUUUUGUUGUCUUGACAACUUCAAAAUCAUAGCACAUUUUUGUUCUAAGAGUGGAUUUUCAGGAUCUCGAAGCCUCUUCCUGAACUUAGAGUAGUAGGAAUUUUGUUUUUCCAAGACAUUACCUUAACUAAUAGUAAAAAUGAAGAAAAAUGGAUUGGUUCAUUUCUGCCUGGCAAUUCAUAUUAAAGGUUGUAGAUGUAGACACCAAAGAAUGUCUUUGUUAGUUACAUUUGGAGUAUGUAGGAGACGAUUCUAUUGUCUGGGUCAUUCGAGGCCUUUGUAUAAGACACACUACAAAAAGGCAAAGGGGGCUCCUCCUCCUUGGAGUUUAGAAGGCAAGGAAUAAAUUCCACUUUCUCUCCAUCAGAAGUUUAGUACUUAUUCAGCUGUUGGGGAAUAAACAAAAAGUGGUUCCAGAUUUCUUUUAGUUUUUUAGUUGGCAUAAGACAGCUGGUCUAGCCCCAGCGAAUCUAUGCAUCCUAAGCCGCAGGAACCAGUGAGAAAACAAAAGAAGGACUGUACUUGCUUCCAGACUUUUAUUGGUAAAUUAAGGGACAAUAGUGCCUAGAGUGGACCACCUACCUUGCCCUUGACUCAUCCUGCUUUAAAUAUCUAAUUCGCUUGCCCCAAUUUGCAGUUUCCUUCUUUCAAAUUGUUUUCUUGUUUUCUAUAUGCAAGAUGCUUCUUGGAAGAUUCACAAACAUAAAAAGAGUUUGUUGCUGGAUGCAGUUAAAGAAAACUUUUGUGUGCAAUUAUUCACACUGAUAUGUUCAUAAUUAAAGAGAGAAAUAAUGCUAGAAUUGGCAUCUGCGGUUAAGUACAUUAUACAUACUAAUGCUGGUUAUUGUACUUUCCAUCCAGGUAUUUUCUGUGGGCACUGACAGUUUGACACCCAUCUAUGACUGAAUAGUAUGUACAUUAAGCCUUUAGGUCAAAGCAGUUUCAAUUUGUAAAUGGCAGUGUGUAUUGUAAUGACAACUGUGGUUUAUGGUGAUAAGUAUUAUAGUGGAACUAUACCUGUCUGAUAUAUAAAGUGAUGAAUCCACAAACGAGGGUGAUGGAUGCUAUAGCAGAAAGACAGUUCAUUGGUAUCAGUGUAACUGUAGUCAUGUCUGAAAGAUUAAUUUGUUUAAUUUGCAAAUCCAGUGGAGCCAUGGUUGCGUAGUGAGACUAAUUAAUUGUACCUACCUUAGUACCUAUAGGAUAAUUGGAAAGAAUAUCAUCUAUGCUUCUAUACGAUCAACAUCUAAUGUGGAAUAAAUUUGUAUACCCGUGUGAUAUAGAGUGAAUAAAAUCUGCAAUAUAGAAUGAUGAAUGCUAUAACAGAAAUGUACAUCAAAACCAGUGCAAAGCAGUUAAGACCACUAUACAUUAAUUUGCUUAAUGUGCAUCAGUGCGAGAGCAGUGGUUGUCUGGUCAUGUUAUGCAACCAUACCUACCUAUAUUAUAUUCAGAAAGAAUAAUAUCUAUGAUGCUGUAAAAUCCGCAGCUAAUGCAGAAUAAAUUCGUACGUGGGUCCAGAAAGACACAAGCUGCUAGUUCACUAUCUAAUUACCCUUACGGCAGUGAUCUAUAAUUUAUCGAUCGGUGAAGACAUGGUCAAUCAACAGAACCAUUUAGUGCAUUUUGGUGAUGUCAGAACAAACACUGCGAACUGUAGAUCAGAGUGGAGCUCCAGAAUCAUGGAUGCAUUCCUUGUAAUGGUGAAAUUACAUUAGUUCUGCAGCAGAGAUCAAUCAAUUUGGUAGGAGAAUAUGUUAUGCUAUCUCGAAUACUUGAUGAAGUGGAGGCUGCUACCAAAAUGACAAAGUAAGAAUGCCUUAAUAGUUUGUUGGCAUGUUGAUGGAAUAAAUAACUCAAACGUCAUUUGGUCUUCACAAGAAAACAGAACAAAUGCUCAUGCCCUCUAUAGUCAAUUUCAGCACACACUGAUUUUCUUUUGUUGUGGUUUAUUAUCGGCACCAGAGAGUUUUGAGUCAAGUCAAAGGACAUUUGAAGCAUAUCUCACACUGAACAGUUAAAUGCCGAGAGUUAACGAUGGUACUUCACCAAAGUGUAGUCUAUUACUUGCGGAUAUUUUCUUUUUGCUUCUUUCCGCUCUAGUUUUUUCUUGCUGAUUAAAAAGGUCCGCUGAUAACUUAUGCUUCUGCAGAGGGAUCAGGCUUCUGUAGCUUCACACUUGCAUGAUUAUGCCGAACUAAUAUUAAAGAAAAUCAUAUGAAGUUGAUAUAGGUGCAUGAUAGUGUCAUAUUUUAUUUUCUUUUGGUAAGAAUGGCUAGUGCUAUUACUUUCUUCUGCUCACAUAUCUGAUUGGUGACAGGUACUUGGAAAGUAUUUGCUUUUACUUGAUGUUGUCGUAAAGGCCUUAUUUUGGUCUCUUCCACCUGGAUGAAGGCAUUUUCAUCUUGCGCAGAGUAAAGGAGGGAGCAUUCUCGAAUUAUUAUUACCAUUUGUAGAAGCUUAUCCUCUAGGUUUUCUUAUGCAUUAUAGAGGAAAUGUUCUUUGUACUUGGAUUUGCUUUUGUAGAUAUUUUAUCAUUGGAAAACUUAUUCUGCAGGUAUGGCCUGGUUCUGAAAAGUGAGGCAUCAUCAUCGGCUCUCAGAAUCAGUCUAUCAUAAGCAAUGAUAUCGCAAAAUUGUUAUUGGUGCUUAUCCGUUUUGUGAAACGCCAAUGCAUUAGCCAAAAAGGAAAGUGAGAAAUGGCCACAGGAAAGCAACUCCCAGUGGAGAAAAAGUUGGAGGAGGGGAAGGAAGAUAAAAGCAUACAGAUUCCGUUAAAAUCGAAUGAAUAUAUAGGUGUGCUUGUCCGCAAAGUCUCUCGGAAAUUAGGUUUGGCACUUGCUUGCAUCCUUGCAUCUGUUGUGGUCAAGCGGCGAGAGCGCCAGCAUGUCGAACUAUCCAUAUUUCAUGCCUCAAAACUGUUCAGUGUGAUUAUUCUUCUUGUGAUCGAUCCCACUGAGACAAACGAGAAUUUACAGAGCUCCACACGUUAGCUUCAAAAGAGUAAUCGACUUUUAGAGUUGCGAUGUGGGGUUAUUACACUUAAAGUUGACGUGCUUAGCUCCGUGUAUUCUUCUAGAUGAACACAUCACAAGGGGAAGUGCAACUGUGUUCCGUUUUUCUGCAUUUGGUAAUUUAAUCGGUUUUCCUCUAGUCAAAGACAGUAAGCCAAACCUAAAGACUUCUACUUGCCAAAACCUCUGGUGUCUAACGAUUCUUCUAGUCCAAUGAUUUUCAUUUCUCUGUAAGUGGAAACAAGCAAAUCUCGGAUGCCAUGUUAAACUAUAGAAAUCUGACAAUCGUGUCUAAGCACUACGCGCUUAUAAAGACGGAAAAAGUGCCUCGUCUGCUUUUGUGCCUAGAAUGAAGAAUGCCCUUUGCAAAGCAAUCCCUUCCAACCGUGCCUUUUAUCCCUUUUCCAUUCUCGAAUCAAUCCAAAUUUUAAAGUACAAGACGAGGUCAUGAUAGUUUUGCUUCCUUUACAGGAUUCAUUCUGGAGCGAAGUGUCCAUUUCAUGCAUAUAUUCCCCCCUCCCCCACCAUUCAUUUGUUUGUUAGCCGAGAUCUAAUCCAAGAAUACCGAGUACGCCGCACCUGUGCUGUAUGGUCCCACUGCAUCUUGCCUUUCUUAUCGGCCUCUAUAUCCAUUCUUUCAGGUUUAAGGAACAUAUGCACUUGACUUUUCAGUUCUGUGCGGAAAGCUGAUCCAAAAGUUCCCUUUUUUUUUUGGUUUUUGUAUGCGCAUAUGAUCAGGUACCGGUUCAUCUGCAUACUUGAGCAUCACCCACAGAAACGAGGACCAUGUCUUCAAAAGGGAUCCUGAAAUCCUUAAGAGGCGGGCACCGAGGAUCUGCGGUCGUGAAGACGAGUAGAGAUGUGUUGCGACGUUGAUUGAAUGCGUCGCGAUGAAAUCGGAACGGGUCGAUUGGAUUUCGUAGUUCAGGUUGAUCUGCUGAAGAGGUCACAGGAUUAUAGAAGCCGGGUUCAUGAGUUCUACGCUUUCUUUUACGUUUAGUCCUAUAUGUUUGAAUGACAGAAUGAUCUGACUUAACUCGUCGAGAAUUAGGCAAUGUGAAUUGGGAGAGAAAAGAAGUGCAGCGCAGGACUUGGCCUGCCUUGAUAUUGUCCAAGGUUGAUUACAUUAUCAAA